UAAUGGAUUUGGGAGAGGACACUGUCCCAGUGUGUGAGUUACCUGAAAGGCUCUAGACAGCUCAACUGCCUAUGAGUCACGGAGAGAGCUCCUGGAAGCAGGAUUCCUGAGGAAUUAGCUGUAUUUUGUGGGAUGAUUACUGCUGCUGUUGAUUUCACGUCAUCUAUGUUGCUAUGCUGAGAGAGGCUGAAGGAACAUCUGUCUCCUUAUCACAGGACCAUCAGCUGGGAACAUUCCACACACCUGCCCCUUCCCUUUCUCCAGGAUGCAGCAGGCAUCAAGACACCUCAGGCUUGCUUCAUGCAUUUUCUAAGACCCAGGGCGUUUUCCUACUCAAUCACAACGCUCGCACAUAAAGUAAUCAGCAUUGAUUAGAAGUCAUGGCACAAUACAAAAUGUUUCCUCAGUGCAGCAGCAACAUGGACCCUGGAUCAAACUCAAGUCACAAGACACAGCAGCUCUCACCUUUCCUUGUUGAAGCAUCUGAGCAGAACACAGGUAUCUGGGGAGAUACCUCAAUCAGGUAAAUACCCGACUUGCAUGGGACCUCAGUUCUAUCACCAGGACUCCACAUAAAAGGCCAGGUAUGGCAGUGUGUUAUGUAAUCC
rnacentral:lncRNA from 1 species